rnacentral:lncRNA from 1 species
GGUUGUUAUAGCGAGUUUUCCCUGUGUGCUUUUGUGCUCUCACAGAUGCCUGCUUCCCUUUUGUGCUCUUACAGAUGCCUGCUUCCCUUUCGCUUCUCUGCUAUGUUAUGACACAGCAAGAGGCCCUCAUCAGGAGCUAACCAGAUUUGGCCACCAGUCUUGGACUUCCCAACCUCCUGAACUGGACAUUUGACUGGUAAGGGAAGAACGCCUCAAGUGAGCAUGCAUACACCUCCAG